AAAAGAAAAGACCACACGAAUGGGUAAAGCCCUAUCUCUCCUCUGAUAUUCCCCAUUUUCAAACCCUCCAAACCGAUGACAUCCUUUCCUGCGAAAUCUUGAAUUUUGAAGCACCAUGUCACUUACCGACUGUUAAGUUUUACUUCCAACAGUACUCUUCCUUUCCGGUCGAUCGCCCAUAUUUGACUGUUCGUCAAGGCCAUUACGGUCUCAAUAGUUCAGCCAUCGCGAAACAAUGAAGACCUAGCUCAAGCGUCCAUCAAAUCCUACUUCAUACACGAUAUUACGACUCAGAAGACAAAUGGUGGGUAAGAAUUCUGAAGUAUGUCGCGAAUGCAAGAGAAAGAGACACUUCUUCGUCAAUUGCCCAAUAAAAUGUCGAUGCCCACAGUGUACCAAUGGGUUUUAGAAGUUUUUGUGGUUGAAAGAGAGACUGCUGACAAAGGCAAAUUUUUCAAAUGUUGCAGUAUUAAGUACAGAUUUUGGGAGUGGUGCGAAAAAUGAAAAGCAAUUGGUGAAUCGAGUACCGUUAGCAUUACCAAGGCUGAAGAAGUGGCAAAUGAAACAUCUGACAAUAUCAUCCAUAUGUUCCAAUCUCAAGUUUGAUCAAACGACGAAGAAAAAAUAGGUAUUUCUGUGAAUGUGACUACCCACAAGGGAAAAGGCAUUGCGAACGCAUGCACAAAAGGGAAAGGGUUGGCUUGAGCAGUGGUUAAUAUUUGAUUAGCUUUAAGGGUUUUGUGUAUGUGUUAAGUGAACAAACAACUUUUGUUUGUAUAAUAAUUUGCAGCUCCAUGAAAUAGCUACAUUCUAUCUAACUUUUGUGACUUCAAUGAGCAACAUGUUAAUUAAUUGAUGUUUA